UCAACAAGCCACGUGAUCCAAAUACGGCGCUAUUAAAAACAACGUUCAUUUUAGGAUAUCAGGCGACGUUAGCGUUUGCCGCCAGUGAACUCGCUCUGCUCCCUUGCAAUUUCUCUCGCUCGCUCUUUUUUUGGACACAAAGCCGUUCUCAGAUACGAGAGCAAGUGUUGCGACAAUAACGCUAUCACACAAUGUGGCACGGCGUUCUUGUGGGCAUGCACCCAUUUCGACGGAUUACCAACCACUUUGAUACCAGACGGAGAGAGCGGCCUUGGUCUGAACGGGAGAAAGCUGGUGAUGCUGAACGAGCGACGGGCUGCUGGGCUCUGCGUGUCAACUGUUGGCUCGGUUUGACGUUUCUCAUCGCCAGGCUGGACUUUGCCGUCCGACCCGGACUACCUGGGACACAACAUGGACACAUUGUGCGCUUCCUGGCCCUUCCCAUUCUACUUGUAUUUGUAUGAAUACUAUUGAGGGUCUGGAUUUCGGAGUCCGGAGAGUCAGGAGUGUUAUUUUCAUCUAUGCUGAAGAGAUCAUCAUGGUCAUCUAUUGGCUCCACGUAGCCAACCACUGGGUCUGUGUCUCGAUCAUGCGUGUGAGGACUUAAAGUAACAAUAACUCCUGGCAAAUUAUCGUCAUCUGAAAGUUUCGCUUUUUUAACGCUGGUGCUUUCAGAGCCCUUUGCAUUGUAUCGGUGCUGCGAGUGAAGUUUCUUCUCUUUCAGCGGGUUUCUGGUUUCCUUAAUAUCCCGUGAUGACCUCUUCUGUACAGGCUCUUUGGGUCCACCCUCAGAGGAUGCUGCAUCAAUCCUCUGCAGGCAAAUUUUCACAUCAGCUAUAAUCCCAAAGAUUUUCCUGAAUUGGUGGUCAGUCAUUUGGUUUGUGGGAGAUGAUCUGCAAACUGUCAGCGCAGUUGUAGACAUCUGCAAGAAAAAAAAACAGGAGUCAAAUUAAGAACAACUUAGGUAUUCUGCCACCAAUCCCUUCAGUAAUGGAUCCAUAUUUUAUGUUAUUUGACCAAUUUUACUAAGACACAAGAAGUACUUUAAAGUCUGCAAGUGAGCUUUAGCUAAGCUUUAGUUGUGGCAUCACAAAAAAAUACUCUUCCUUUGAUAUCAGGCUCGAGUAACUGUUCCAGUGAAACAGUACGUAACCUCUGUGCAGUUCUGCACUAAUGCUGUGACUGCUAGUAAUCACUUGGAGAAAUUAGCACUCAUUGCGGGAAAUGCAUCUACAGUGGAACCUUGAUUAGUGUCAUUAAUUCGUUCCAGACGUCUGACUCUAACUGAAACAGACACUAACCAAAUACAUUUUUCUCAUAAGAAAUACGAAACACAUUUAGUAAUAGUUUUACAAUUAUAGUUUUACAUGCUGAAAAGAAUUAGGGCCACAUUGAAAAAAACUAAUAUGAGAUUUCAAGAAUAAAGCAGUAAAUGUACGAGAAAUAAAGUUGUACAUUUACAAGAAUAAUUUGCAAGAAAAGCGUUGUAAUUUUACGAGAAAAAGUUGUAAUAUUAUGAGAAUAAAGUCGUAAAUUUACAAGAAAUAAAGUCGUAAAUUUACAAGAAUAAUUUUGGAGAAAAAAAGUUGUAUAUUUAUGAGAAAAAAAGUCAGAAUUUAUGGGAAUAAAGUCAUAAAUUUACAAGAAGAGUCGUACAUUUAGAAGAAUAAAGUCAUACAUUUACGAGAAAUAAAGUUGUAAAUUUACGUGAUAAAGUUCUACAUUUACAAGAAUAAAGUUGUACAUUUACAUGAAAUAAACCUGUAAAUUUACGAGAAAAAAAUUCAUAAUACAGUACAUACAUAAUACAUACGAGAAUACAGUUGUAAAUUUUUUAGAAAGUCGUAAAUUUACAAGAAUAUUUACGAGAAAAAAAGGCGUAAUAUUACGGGAAUAAAGUCAUAAAUUUACAAAAAAAAAAAGGUCGGAAAUCUAAAGAAUAAAGUUGUACAUGUACGAGAAAUGGUUCUAAAUUUACAAGAGAAAAAAGUCGUAAAUUUACGAGAAAAAAAAAGCCAUAUUAUGAGAUAGUCGUAAAUUUACGAGAAUAGUCAUAAAUACACAAAAAUAAAAUCGUACAUUUAAGAGAAAUAAAAUUGUACAUUUCUGAGAAUAAUUUACGAGAAAAAAGUCGUAACAUUACAACAAUAAGGUCAUAAAUUUACAAGAAAAAAAAAGUCAUAUUACGAGAAUAAAGUUGUAAAUUUGUGAGAAUAAAGUCGUAACAUUACGUGUCAUCGUAUCAUAUGUGUCAGAGGGAAAAUCGAGCAUAGCGCUUCAGUCAGGAAGGAACCUUUCCUCUGCUUCAGGCAAGCGUUUAUAACGUGGUAGCAAAACAGAGCAGUUGAGCACAAACAGAUUAGCAUGACUAGCCUUAUAUUGCACAAUAUAUUGCCAUCUGCUAGUUGAAUUUCUACUGCAUUACACUCUUCUGCAGUGAUGUCCCGACCCAUAUUUUUUGGCUUCUGAUCCGAUACGAUUUUUUAAAAUAGUCUUGCCGAUCCAAUACCGAUCAUUUUUUUUGUUCAUUUGUUUUAAUAAUAAUAAUAAUCUUUUGUUACAAACAUGAAUUUGUAGAAUUGAAUGUGGUUCUGAAAAUACCUCUCAUUAUUUAUCACACAUCAUGACCAACAAUAUUGUUUGGCUUUUGUAGCAAACCCUUGUGAGUCAGGUCCCUAAUCCAAUAAAAGAUAAAAUAAAAAAAAAUGGGCAUGCAAAAUACGUUUAGGGUCGGACUAAUCAUUUGAUAUGGUUAUAGAUCAACUUGUGGUGUGACUUAGAAUAAGAUUUUUUUUUAACAAACUCUCUAUUUUAGCAGGAUGGAGUGUUUGCUAUUUGGGUUAGUGAAUAAAAUGCAAAAAUCCUCACAUAAAUUGAUGCCAUACAUCAUUGGCUCAUUUUGUCCAGUAAUUGACAAAUGGAUGUAGCUUCAACAAACUGUAAUGCCCGUGCUUGUGAUUAUGGAAGAUGUAAUCACAGAUGUAAGAUAUUUUAAUGACACCCUUAUUUUGUUUACACAAUUCCAACAAUGACAAAUGUGCCAAAGAGUGCUGUUAUUUUGAACGCCGGAAUGUGUUUUGUGUGUGUGAUACGUGCCAGGUGCAAGAAUAAACGUGGAUCUGGUCUUUUUUCACUCAGAAGCUGCACGUCGUCAGUGGGAAAUGGAAAAUGGUCCUUACAUUAAAGCAGUAACA